rnacentral:misc_RNA from 1 species
GCCUUAUGUUGAACACUUCACUAGUCAUUAGUCAAUGUUGCUUAACAAAAUUACUUCUUACUUCCCUAAAUAGGGGCAGAACUACCUUCUCCCCCUGCCCCCUCCCCAGUGGUUUUAAAAGGCUGUUACUUUAUGUGAUGGCAAUUAUUUAUAGGUUUUUUGCCCUCCUGUUACUAUGACACUUGUUAUUUAAAGGCAUAAAAAAAAUUGUUUUCUAUAAUGGCCAUCACACCCAUUACUUAAUGAUGAAGGCCAGUAUUUACCAUUAAGUAACAGUAAUGGUUCGUUAUCUCAUUAUUAUUUUAAGCUCUAUGGGGGUGACAACUCAACUAAACUUUUAUCCUA